rnacentral:rRNA from 1 species
AGUGAACGCUGGCGGUAGGCCUAACACAUGCAAGUCGAACGGCAGCACAGUAAGAGCUUGCUCUUACGGGUGGCGAGUGGCGGACGGGUGAGGAAUACAUCGGAAUCUACUUUUUCGUGGGGGAUAACGUAGGGAAACUUACGCUAAUACCGCGUACGACCUACGGGUGAAAGCAGGGGAUCUUCGGACCUUGCGCGAUUGAAUGAGCCGAUGUCGGAUUAGCUAGUUGGCGGGGUAAAGGCCCACCAAGGCGACGAUCCGUAGCUGGUCUGAGAGGAUGAUCAGCCACACUGGAACUGAGACACGGUCCAGACUCCUACGGGAGGCAGCAGUGGGGAAUAUUGGACAAAGGGCGCAAGCCUGAUCCGGCCAUACCGCGUGGGUGAAGAAGGCCUUCGGGUUGUAAAGCCCUUUUGUUGGGAAAGAAAAGCAGCAGGUUAAUACCCCGCUGUUCUGACGGUACCCAAAGAAUAAGCACCGGCUAACUUCGUG